rnacentral:ncRNA from 1 species
UACUAAUGACAUGUUUUAGUAACAGCAUUCCUGCGUAGUACGAGAGGAACCGCAGGUACGGACUCAUGGCACAAUACUUGUUCGAGCGAACAGUGGUAUGACGCUACGUCCGUUGGAUUAUGCCUGAACGCCUCUAAGGUCGUAUCCAAGCUGUUUUCAAAGAUAAUUAUGGGGCAAUUGUAUUGUAUGACUAUAAACCAUUAAAGUUUAUGUCUUGUACAUAAACGACAGUGGACUUAAAGUCAAUGUUCUGUAUAACAUAGCGAAUGCGGGCUGAUAAAUCACCUGUAUGCCGAGCUAGUUAUAUAGUAGAACAUUAUUAAAUACGAUGACAGUGCCUAGAAUCAAUUGUAAACGACUCUAUUAUCAGGCAAGGUGCC